rnacentral:rRNA from 1 species
AACGAACGCUGGCGGCGUGGAUAAGACAUGCAAGUCGAACGGGACAGACCGAGUAGCAAUAUUUGGAAUGUUCAGUGGCGAACGGGUGCGUAACACGUGGAUAACAUUCCGGAAAGCGGGGAAUAGCCCAGGGAAACUUGGAUUAAUACCGCAUGUGGCCGCAAGGCUAAAGACGGGGACCGCAAGGCCUGUCACUUUCCGAUUGGUCCGCGGCCUAUCAGCUAGUUGGCGGGGUAAUGGCCCACCAAGGCUACGACGGGUAGCUGGUCUUAGAGGACGACCGGCAACACUGGAACUGAGACACGGUACAGACACCUACGGGUGGCAGCAGUCGAGAAUCUUUCACAAUGGGGGCAACCCUGAUGGAGCGACGCCGCGUGGAGGAUAGGUUCUUCGGAUUGUAAACUCCUGUCAUGCGAGAAAAAGGUACUCAGGCUAAUAACCUGAUUGUUUGAUGGUACCGCAAGAGGAAGAGACGGCUAACUCUGUGCCAGCCGCCGCCGUAAUAC